rnacentral:rRNA from 1 species
GAUGAACGCUGGCGGCGUGCCUAAUACAUGCAAGUCGAGCGAACAGACGAGGAGCUUGCUCCUCUGACGUUAGCGGCGGACGGGUGAGUAACACGUGGAUAACCUACCUAUAAGACAGGGAUAACUUCGGGAAACCGGAGCUAAUACCGGAUAAUAUAUUGAACCGCAUGGUUCAAUAGUGAAAGACGGUUUUGCUGUCACUUAUAGAUGGAUCCGCGCCGCAUUAGCUAGUUGGUAAGGUAACGGCUUACCAAGGCAACGAUGCGUAGCCGACCUGAGAGGGUGAUCGGCCACACUGGAACUGAGACACGGUCCAGACUCCUACGGGAGGCAGCAGUAGGGAAUCUUCCGCAAUGGGCGAAAGCCUGACGGAGCAACGCCGCGUGAGUGAUGAAGGUCUUCGGAUCGUAAAACUCUGUUAUUAGGGAAGAACAAAUGUGUAAGUAACUAUGCACGUCUUGACGGUACCUAAUCAGAAAGCCACGGCUAACUACGUG